rnacentral:lncRNA from 1 species
UUUCAUCAACUGUUAAUGGUGUUGGAAUUGCAAAGGGCGAUAUGCAAUUGAUUCUGAUUCCGUUCUUGCAUAGCUCCGGUGUUACAGAUCUCAUAAUUCCGAUUAUGCAGGAUUUGGAUGUCGAAUAUGUGAAUGGCGCUAGACCUCCCAUUACACCAGUAACGCUAGCUGUGCACAAAAUGGAACCGGUUUGUCGCGGAAUCAUCACCCGAGCGGCGUGCUUGAUUCCUGCCACCACACCUCCUACGUUAAUAGCCAUGACGCGGUUGAAUGCACCGAGGUCAAGGUCCAUGAUGCUUGGUGGAGUACUACAUGCAAUGCCUUAACAGAGACGGAUUAAGAAUUUAGUAAAAGGAAAAGUUCAAGUUCGAUUAUUUAUUGAGGUGUAAAAGAUAUUUAAAAAAAUAAAAUCAAUAAUUAUGUCAUAUGUAAACUGUUUUAUCCUGUAUUGGCCUCUGAUUAUACCUGCAUUGUUGUACAUUAUGUCGAGCUGUCCGUGGCUAGAGACGGCGAAAUCCACGGCGUUGGAGAUGUCGGAUUCUUUGGAUACAUCACAGACCACAAAGGUGGCGUUUGGUCCGAGCUCGGAGGCUGU